UUUGUUUGAUGAUUAAGCUUUAAUUUAUUUUAUAAACAUGCAAAAAAAAAAAAAAAGUAAUUGAAUAAGUUAAUAACUUUAUGGCAAGGGAAGCCACUCUUUCAUUAUAUUUUUUUUUUACAAACUGUACACCCUGUAGAAAAAAUAGCAUAUAUAGGUAAGGGGCAUCUUGAGCAGACAAUUUUUACAUUUUGUGGACAAGUGACUCAAACCUGGUCCACAAGAAGACGUGUAACCAUUACAAUUUAAUUGAAAGAUGGUAAUAAAAAAAUACAACUAAACAGACUUUGUUGUUUUUUCUAUAAAAAAAAGUUGAAAGUUAUACAAUUUAAAAUUUUCAUGUAUUAUAAUAGUAAGAUAUGUUCAUGUAUUGUUUGAUAGUUUUGCUUGCAAUAUUGAAGUAAACAGUUAUUAGCUAAUGUAACAAGAUAUCCAAUUUACACCAAUUUUUUACAACAAAUAUUUCUGAGGAAUUCAUGAAUACAGUCCUAGUUUUGUUAUUCUUUAGAUUAGUCAUCAUAACUAUAAAUGACUUAAAACUUAUUUUGCAUGUGAUAGCUAAUACAACACUGUUAAUUAGCUAAAACUCUAAAAAAAAUACUUUGGCUGUACAGACUUUGCAAAGUACUAAAUGUAUUCUAUGCUCUAGUUGUACAUUCAUUUUGAAAGGAUGGACAUCAGAGGGCACUUAACAAUUCUGGGAAGUAGAGCAACACUGUCUGCCAUGUCACAAAACACAAGCACAAGAAAAUCAAGGCACAUUAACAUUUGGAAUGUUUCUUAACAUCACAACACAGAAUGUAGUAGUAACUGAACUUUAAUACUAACAGGAAUUCAAUGGUCAAUCUGCAGCGCAUCCUUUUUAUAUAGAGUCAUUUUACCUCAUCAAUUUCUUCUUUUUUUUAGCUAUGCAAAAUGGUGCCUCCAAUCUCUCCCAAACAAGGCUAAAGGAUAAACUGGUGACCUUAUUUUAGGAUAUGUACCAGUUCUCUACAUACUCACUUCAACUUUUCAACCCCAUCAAAAGUUAGCUCCUUUCCCCAAUCCAAAACAAAAUUAAAAUCUAAAAAGUAUUUCUAGUGCUAAAGUCUACUGAAAUCACCCAUUGCAAGAAAAACAAGUUAACGGUAAGAUUAUUGUUAUUCUUAAUAGUCACAUUCACAUUCUACUGGUUUCCAAUUUAUCACUGGACUGGAUACAAAUGAAUGGCUACAGAGUAUGAUUUUGAAUUUUUGACAUGAUGAAAUUUCUGCCUCCAGCUGUCAAAACCUUUAAGCUCUGCAUUUGUAUAUAAUGCCUACAAAAGCUUACUUUAUAUAUACAAAAUAUAUUAUUUAGUAUAAUACAUAAAUAUAUACAUAUAAUAUAUACAUCAAGGUCACUUGAAAUGUAAGGAAACAAAACAUUUUUGAAACAAAAAACAAAUAUUACGGUACAGGUAUUUCACACAAUAGCUAAAGUUAGUUGACAGGAUUUUAUUUUUUUCAAAACGACAGGACUAAACAUUUUGAGAAAAUAAAAACAUAGUUUAAAGUAAGACAUUUCCCUAUGUAUCUCAGCUCCAUGCUAAGAAUGUGUCCAACAGAAAAUAAAAAGUUGACACGCCAACAGAAGGAAAAACUGACAAUGUUGAAAUGCCAAGUCAACCAAUCUAGAUGGGGAAAGCACUACUAAAAUGUGUAGUACAUUGGGCAAGAUCUUAGUCUGUUGAAGAUCUGAUGCAUUGUGGCUGUUAACAAAAAGAUAUUAAUGCUCAAUUACAGAUAAAGUACCCAAAAAAAAAAAAUCCCAAAAAUAAUUUGAUGUCCCUCACUUUACCUCCUGGAUGACGAAAAAAGAGGGAGGUUAAGAAAGAGAUCUAUGUGGGAACUAAAUUGUCUAACUCAUAAAACAUUUUGCAUACAUAAUCCAGCAAUCUUACUUACACUUCCCCUCACUUUAGACAAGUUUUAGAAAUGAUAAAGUAUAAUCUCUUUAUUCUUGAACAGCUUCUCCCAUAACUUAUAAGCAAUCAAAUAAAUGAUAAAUGUGUAUGAAGUAUAUUUACAAUUGUACUAAAGUCAACAAAGUAAUGUGCUUGAUAUGAUACAUUUUACUCUAUUUUUCAGUUGGCAAAACCAUUCCAUAGACUAGCAAUACAGCUAUACAUAACAAAUGUCCUCAUUCAUCAAUGGGACCUUAAUAUGUUCCUAGUUGUAUUCUAACGUCCUAAAAAUUAUUUAUUUAAUUUCUUUUAUUAUAUGCCAAGGCACAAAUCCAUUAGAAAGACACUCAUCUAAGGAUGAUGUGUUUUGAGGUUCAUCUUUAUAGAUACAUGUAUUAAAACACAAAAAUAACAUAAAAUAAAAAAAAAAAACAAGCAAAUUCAGAAUGGAUUUUUGAUUCUUCAAUAGACAAGCUUAAAAGGUUUCUCAGCCACAGGCACCGGGUAUUUUUUUUCUCAAGAUCUUGAGUUAUUUCAAAUAACAAUUUUUUUUUUGUUAGGGUGAUUGAAUCACUUGACAAAAAAGAUUGCAAUGCAAAAUUUGAUAUUGCACUUCAAACACUUGGUAUAAUGAGAUGUGAUGCAUUGUCAAAUAAUUUGAUUUCAAACACUUCACAAUUCUUUGAAUGAGUAGAUGAGAAUGAAUGAAAAUGUCACUGUAAGCAGUGAGGAAAAGAUCAUUGAUUGACAUUGUUUUUAUGGUAUAGAGAAAAAAAAUACUUUUUU